rnacentral:snRNA from 1 species
AGACGUGAGGAUGAUCUGGCUGUGAAAACUGUCACCUGCCAAUAGCCAGGGUUGAUGCAGCUAAUCUGACUGGCUAAGCAGGUGUCCCCUUCCUCCCCCAUCACUCCAUGUGCAUGCCACCUGAAGCUGCAUGCAUCCCCAAAUAGAAAAGAACUCAGAAAAUGAGUAGCUCCUCUCUCUGUCCAGAACCUCCAAGCAAGCUCUCAGGACGGAAGGAACUACCUUCUACUGUGACCAAUCCCUUUGAAAAUUUGGCCAUUGUCUCUCCUUU